UACAGAGGUCUCAAGCGUUGUUCGGAUUCAUUGGGCGUAAAGGGCGCGUAGGCGGCGAGGUAAGUCGGGUGUGAAAUCUCAGAGCUCAACUCUGAAACUGCACUCGAUACUGCUUUGCUAGAGGACUGGAGAGGAGAUUGGAAUUCACGGUGUAGCAGUGAAAUGCGUAGAGAUCGUGAGGAAGACCAGUGGCGAAGGCGGAUCUCUGGACAGUAACUGACGCUGAGGAGCGAAAGCGUGGGGAGCGAACAGG
rnacentral:rRNA from 1 species